UGAACGACUCUCGGCAACGGAUAUCUCGGCUCUCGCAUCGAUGAAGAACGUAGCGAAAUGCGAUACUUGGUGUGAAUUGCAGAAUCCCGUGAACCAUCGAGUUUUUGAACGCAAGUUGCGCCCGAGGCCACCCGGUCGAGGGCACGUCUGCCUGGGCGUCACGC
rnacentral:rRNA from 1 species